GAAAUGUUGAGAUUGAAUUCGUUUGUAAACUAUUGUUUGUGUUUCCUCCGUCAAUUGUAACGGAUCACGUUUUGAUUUGUUCGAUAUUCGUGUUGACUUGUAUCGUUGAUGAUAGAACAGUAUGUUUUGAUCUCAUGCUUUAUCAGGUGAUAUUGUAUCUAUCGCAUUGACAGAGGGAACUUCAGGAUUUGACAGAAUAACGGGGGGCGGUUUCUGAAUUUGCACAUCGCAACCAUAUUCAGCUUACUUUUGUUUUUAAUUUCCUCCUAAAACCAUGUUGGCAUAUGAUUAUUAUGAUUUUAGUAUGCUCCUAAUGUAUAGCAACUUUUUGAAUUGUACAUGAGUUUUGAAGUUUGUUUUUAUUUUUCCUGUCAUUAUUGAGAGGCGGAUUUUUAAUAAGUAAAAGACCUGUAGAUGAAGAAAGGUCUUCCUAAGUUGCAGCGAGUGAACUGGUCCCAUUGAGUCAACAUCACACUGUUUCAUGUUUAAGGGUUCCAUUAGUUCCCCUCUCGCCGGUGAACACACUGUUCCGAAUCAUGUUCAUGUCUCACGUCGAGCCCCAUCCCGUAAGAGCUUUUCAUCUCUUCCGGUCUAUUUAUUAUUGCAAACGAAUUCGGUAUAUUUGCGUUUUUUUUUUUUUUUUGCCUGAUUUUAAGCAGUGGAAAUCUGUAUUUGAAUGUUCUUUUAGCAUCAGAUACGGUUAGAUAAUAUUGCAACUGAAUAGUUACUCGGUACUGCUAAUCUGAUUCUUAUUCAACAUAUAUUGCUCCAAAUUGUGUAUGGAUUAUGUGCAAGGCACAGGUGGAAAUUAUGGGCAGUGUGGCGGUGGAAACUACGGGCAAGCAAGUAAGUGGCGGAAAUUAUGUGCAAGGCACGGGUUGAAAUUAUGGGCAAGGUGGCACUGGAAACUACGGGCAGGCAAGUGGCGGAACUUAUGGGCAAGGAGGUGGUGGAUAUCAUGGACGAGGAAUGGGUUCUGGCGGCAAUCAAACUUCAUCGCAAUAUGGAGAAAAUCCGAACUUUUCACAGGCGGGGCAGGGCAGCAACAUUGGUGGGCAGCAAUGGAACCGAACUAUGAAGUUGUUGAAGAAGCAGAGGCUUUUAAAAAGUGGGAGCUUUUUUCAGAAGUCGGCGAUUUGAAAAAGUAUUCUAUAAGUUAUGAUAGAAGUGGGAGAUCAAAGGUAUUUAUUUAAAGUUCGG